AUACGUACGUCUCAAGCGUUACCCGGAAUCACUGGGUGUAAAGGGUUCGUAGGCGGUUUGAUAAGUUGGAUAUGAAAGACCGGAGCUCAACUCCGUGUUGGUGUUCAAAACUGUCAAACUAGAAUCAGGGAGAGGUAAGCGGAAUUCUAAGUGUAGGGGUGCAAUCCGUAGAUACUUAGAGGAACACCGAAAGCGAAGGCAGCUUACUGGAACUGUAUUGACGCUCAUGAACGAAAGCGUGGGGAGCGAAAAGGAUUAGAAACCCUAGUAGUCC
rnacentral:rRNA from 1 species